AACUCAUCUGCUGGACUUCCGCUGCUGGCAGUAUCUUGAUAUUUUCUUCCGUGGAGCCCUGAAGGGGGAUGGCAUUGAUGCAGUCAAUGCUGCCUUUCACAUUGUUGGAAAGGUUGGGAAAAAAAACUAUCCUGAUUGGCAAUUUCGGAUCUACUAAAAUAAAUCCAUAGUCCAGAUAGAAAAAACUAGAGGUCCUCCGUUGACCCUUUAAGAUACAUGAGAGAGAAACUUAGAGUGAGAGAAAAUAAGAGAGAGAAAGAUAGAGGAGAGAGAAAGAUUGAGAAGAGAGAGAGAGAAGAGAGAAUGAGGAGAGAGAGAGAAGAGUCAACUUUUCCUCUCUCUCUCAUUCUUCUUCAAAAUAAGGGAACCCCCCACUUUUUUUCUUCAAACUCGAUAGCAGAAAGGCCAACAAGGCCAAUAACUUGCAGCAGUAGUCGGCAGUGGUGCUGGGUGUCUAUCCAGACACAGUCUUUGAUGAAAAUCCUAGCGACAGCGGCAGUGGUGGUCGGCGGC
rnacentral:lncRNA from 1 species